AGAACGAACGCUGGCGGCAGGCUUAACACAUGCAAGUCGAACGCUUCACCCUCGGGUGGAGAGUGGCAGACGGGUGAGUAACACGUGGGAACGUACCCCUUUGUUCGGAAUAACCCUGGGAAACUAGGGCUAAUACCGGAUACGGCCGUGAGGCGAAAGGUUUACCGCAGAGGGAUCGGCCCGCGUCCGAUUAGCUAGUUGGUGAGGUAACGGCUCACCAAGGCAUCGAUCGGUAGCUGGUCUGAGAGGAUGACCAGCCACAUUGGGACUGAGACACGGCCCAAACUCCUACGGGAGGCAGCAGUGGGGAAUAUUGGACAAUGGGCGCAAGCCUGAUCCAGCCAUGCCGCGUGAGUGAUGAAGGCCUUAGGGUUGUAAAGCUCUUUACCUGGGAAGAUCAUGACGGUACCAGGAGAAUAAGCCCGGCUAACUUCGCGCCAGCAGCCGC
rnacentral:rRNA from 1 species